rnacentral:rRNA from 1 species
UACGUAGGGGGCAAGCGUUGUCCGGAAUCAUUGGGCGUAAAGAGCGUGUAGGCGGCCAGAUAAGUCCGCUGUGAAAACUCGAGGCUCAACUUCGAGCUGUCGGCGGAAACUAUCUGGCUAGAGUCCGGAAGAGGAGAGUGGAAUUCCUGGUGUAGCGGUGAAAUGCGCAGAUAUCAGGAGGAACACCAAUGGCGAAGGCAGCUCGCUGGGACGUGACUGACGCUGAGACGCGAAAGCGUGGGGAGCAAACAGG